rnacentral:rRNA from 1 species
UGGGGAAUAUUGCACAAUGGGCGCAAGCCUGAUGCAGCCAUGCCGCGUGUGUGAAGAAGGCCUUCGGGUUGUAAAGCACUUUCAGCGGGGAGGAAGGCGAUAAGGUUAAUAACCUUGUCGAUUGACGUUACCCGCAGAAGAAGCACCGGCUAACUCCGUGCCAGCAGCCGCGGUAAUACGGACGGUGCAAGCGUUAAUCGGAAUUACUGGGCGUAAAGCGCACGCAGGCGGUCUGUCAAGUCGGAUGUGAAAUCCCCGGGCUCAACCUGGGAACUGCAUUCGAAACUGGCAGGCUAGAGUCUUGUAGAGGGGGGUAGUAUUCCAGGUGUAGCGGUGACAUGCGUAGAGAUCUGGAGGAAUACCGGUGGCGAAGGCGGCCCCCUGGACAAAGACUGACGCUCAGGUGCGAAAGCGUGGGGAGCAAACAGG